AGUGAACGCUGGCGGUAGGCCUAACACAUGCAAGUCGAACGGCAGCACAGUAAGAGCUUGCUCUUACGGGUGGCGAGUGGCGGACGGGUGAGGAAUACAUCGGAAUCUACUUUUUCGUGGGGGAUAACGUAGGGAAACUUACGCUAAUACCGCAUACGACCUACGGGUGAAAGCAGGGGAUCUUCGGACCUUGCGCGAUUGAAUGAGCCGAUGUCGGAUUAGCUAGUUGGCGGGGUAAAGGCCCACCAAGGCGACGAUCCGUAGCUGGUCUGAGAGGAUGAUCAGGCACACUGGGACUGAGACACGGUCCCGACUCCUACGGGAGGCAGCAGUGGGGAAUAUUGGACAAUGGGCGCAAGCCUGAUCCAGCCAUACCGCGUGGGUGAAGAAGGCCUUCGGGUUGUAAAGCCCUUUUGUUGGGAAAGAAAAGCAGCAGGUUAAUACCCCGCUGUUCUGACGGUACCCAAAGAAUAAGCAACGGCUAACUUCGUG
rnacentral:rRNA from 1 species